rnacentral:rRNA from 1 species
GAUCCUGCUCAGGAUGAACGCUAGCUACAGGCUUAACACAUGCAAGUCGAGGGGAAACGACAUCGAAAGCUUGCUUUUGAUGGGCGUCGACCGGCGCACGGGUGAGUAACGCGUAUCCAACCUGCCCAUCACUUGGGAAUAACCUUGCGAAAGUAAGACUAAUGCCCAAUGAUAUCCCACGAAGGCAUCCGAAUGGGAUUAAAGAUUUAUCGGUGAUGGAUGGGGAUGCGU